AAUUUCUCCAACUAAGUAACUUCUUUUUCCUGAAUAAUUUCUUAGUAUCCUUAACGCAAUCAAGAUAUAGCUGAUAGUUGGCUAUGUUUGGAUUUGUAUUAUAUUGUUUUUCAAUCUCUUUCCUAUUCUUAAUGGCAACUGUGCAUUCUUGAUCCCACCAAGGUGGAGAUGGUGUAUGAUGACGUGAAGUAUUUUUUUUUGGAAAUGAUUCAUCAGCAGCUUUUAUAAAUGCUGCAGUCAAAGCCUCAGCACAUAGUGACUCAUUUUCUGAUGAUAUUUCAGGAAGAAAAGAUAACUGAUUCCUGAGUGAAGUUUGAAAUUUAUCCCAGUUAGAAUUAUUGUUAAUAUGAUACUUUAUUGAUUCAGACUGAUUCAAUUUACUUUUAUCUUUACCUGGAAAUGAUAGAAUUAUAGGAAAGUGAUCACUUCCAUGACUUGACUGUAACACAUUCCAAUAAAAAACAGAUGAUAGAUUUGGUGAACAUAUUGACAAAUCUGGUGCACUACAUCCUUCAUGAGGAGCAGUGCGCCGAGUAGGUUGGCCGGAAUUGAGAAUACACAGUUUAUUAUAAUCUAUUAAAUCCAAAACUUCGUAACCCCAUUGAUUGUCUUUGUGACUCCCCCAUGACUGAUGCUGUGCAUUGAAGUCUCCUAGAAUUACUACUGGUUGUGGUAAUUGGCUAAUAAUACUUUUUAUUUCAGAGAAGAUGUAAUAUGAAGGAUGAGGUAUAUACAGUGAAACAAAACAUAUGUUAUUUACAGAUGCAGCAAUGAUUGAAAAAUCAGAGUGAUGUGAUGGAAGAGGAAUGUGAUGAAAUGAUUGAUGGUGUUUGAUGAGCAUGGCUGUACCACCAUACCCAUCUGAUCUGUCUUCCCUGAGACAAGUGUAGCCAGAAAUCCUGAAAAGUGAUUCCGGCUUGAGCCAUGUCUCUUGUAAGGAAAGAACAAUCGGUGAUGAUGAUGAAGAAGUAGAUGAUAUUAACACGUCAGAAUAUAAUUUUGAAAUGGGAGGAUGUAACUUAGAAGCUUCUGAGUAGGAUAGACAAUUGUGAGCCAUUGACUCCUUAAUUGAUUUUUGGCGUUGGAAUUCUGGGCAUUUUUUAUCAGUUGCAAUGUGCGAACCGUGGCAAAUACAACAGUAAAUAGACUCCUCUUCAACUGAGCAACUAUCACCAGCAUGCCCUUGGCCACACCUAAAGCAUCUAGGUGUUGACCGACAUUGGUUUUUGACAUGUCCGUAUCUACAGCAAUUGAAGCACUGUAUUGUAGGGAAUAUAUAUAAGUCUACAGGAAGUGCAUUAUAGCACAUGAAGACUCUCUUUGGUAGCGUCUGUCCGUCAAAUGUUAUUACCACAGAUUCGGUGUUAUUAAAUUGAGCGGUUCCAUUCA